rnacentral:pre_miRNA from 1 species
CAUGUACUCCCUCCGUUCGGAAUUACUUGUCUCGGAAAUGAAUGUAUCUAGAACUAAAAUACAUCUAGAUACAUCCAUUUUCACGACAAGUAAUUCCGAACGGAGGGAGUAGUUG